AAAAACAUUUCUAAUAGAAAAUAAUUAUUAGUAAGACUCUGCACAAUGAAUAUUAAAUUGCCGCAAUUUACGUGCAAAGGUAGCAUAAUCACUUGCCUUCUAAUUAGAGGCUAGAAUGAAAGGUUUAACAUUUUAAAUCCUGUAAUCUAUAGAAUCUUUUAAACUUUUAUAUAAAUAAAAACAUUUAUUCAUUUUAGGGGGACGACAAGACCCUAUUGAACUUCACAAAAAUGUUUUUCUGGGGUGGAAAUAAAACUAAAUCUUUUAUUCUUUUUAAAAAAUAACAAAAAUCUUUAACUUUAAACAAGUUACCAUAGGGAUAACAGCAUAAUUUUUUCUUACAGACCGUAUAAAAGAAAAAGUUUAUGACCUCGAUGUUGAAUUAUUUCUCUUUUUGAAGCAAAAUUCUAAAAAGAAAGUCUGUUCGACUUUUAAAUUUUUACAUGAUCUGA
rnacentral:rRNA from 1 species